UAACACAAAGUGUGGGACAAAAGAGGUAAAUAUGUUGUUGUUUAUAUAGAAGUACAGUACUAAAAUAUGUGGGAAUAUAGGAAUCUAUAGAUUCAAUCCAAACACUUGUAGACAAAUCACUUUGUGAAGACAAUUCUGACUCACUUGUGCUGCCCUUUAUGUUAUUAUUAACUUUCAAACAUUAAGACAUCCCUACAUCCAUCUCAUCAUUCACCACUAUACACAAUAUGCCAUUCAUUUUCUGUUCCCCUCCUUACCCUAACCCUAACCCUAACCCUAGCUAGCUACUACCCUAUCUUCUUUAAUCUCUCUAUAAAAGAACCUCAUUCUUCUUCCUUAAUACUUCACAUGUAUAAAUACUUGUUACUUUCUUCUAUAUAUAUACAUAUACAUACACUACUUUUACAUCAUUUCUUCCAUCAACAGUACAAUACAUGCAAGGAGAAAACUAGGGUUAACUGAAUGUUACAUUUAAUUUGGUUAUUUUUGUGUAGUAUUAUCAUCCUAGAUAUGCCUGGCUCCCUGUAUGCCAUUUGCGGAGCUCAUUAGGUUUUAAUGAUUGCCUCGGUGAAUGGCGUACCAGGAGCCAAGCAUGCUGUGAAAGAGAAGAACUCAACUGGUUUCUAUCUUUUACUAUAGUAAUAGACAAACGCCAGAUCUCUAACAAGUUCGACAAGCUUCUGGGUGAGUUGAUGCGUUGGUUCGAUCGGAAUUUAAUCGACUUUUCAGGAGAGCAAGGGAGAGUAGAGGGAUACUUAGCAUUAGCAAUGCACAUAAUCUUCAGUGAGGUAGAAAAUAUUUGGAACAGUCCUAAUAAGGUGCAUGAUUAACUUCAGAAAAAAUAAAGGUUUUGUUUACUCAUGCAGUGGAAAACAAGUCUGCUACAUCGUGACUAAAAAUUAGUGUUCUUUGAUAUUGUCUUAUUGUGUUGGUUUCAUUCUGAUUUGUUUAUUGAUGUAACAAAUCAGAAUGUGUAUGAAUUUUCCUCUAAGUAAUAAAAAUAUAUAGAUUCUUCA